rnacentral:pre_miRNA from 1 species
GAUCUACUCCCUCCGUUUGGAAUUACUUGUCUCGGAAAUGGAUGUAUCUAGAACUAAAAUACAUCUAGAUACAUCCAUUUUCGCGACAAGUAAUUCCGAACGGAGGGAGUACAUG